UCAACAACACUCUCCUGAAAUGGUUUCUGG
rnacentral:piRNA from 1 species